GGCGGGAGGGGCAGUUUAGUUGCAAUUAAGGAGAUUGUGCAUGACGAUGAAGUUGGUAGAAAUAGCGCAUAAAUCGGCUGCAAGUUUCAAGAAAAAUCCAUUGUAGCUACUUUUGGAAAUGUCUUGAGCAUGAAAUCGCAGUUAGCUGCAAUUGCGGGUCUCUUGCACAUAAGCCAACCAAGGGGCUGCACGUGACAUGCAACUGUGUUUGGGAUUAGCAGUUGAGCUUUCUAAAACCGCAAUUUCUGUGUUACAGAAGAUUUCUAGAUGGCUUUACCCACCUGAAUAAGUCAUGCAACAUAACAAAUAGCAGAAUUUGUUUUUUAAAAACGAGCAAACUCCUAUUAUCACAUGUGUUAUUUCUCAUUAUUGUGGAUUACUAAGAUAUGGGACUCACUGGGUUGUAAAGUCUCUCAGUAAUUCUAGCAAGAGGAGGAUGUUGCUUAUAAAAGAGGAAACUUCUCUUUACUCCAAACAAAUACUUCAGCAUUUGGCAAAAAAGCUGAGCAUCCUCUUACUGCAGGGAACCUGCAUCAGUGGCAAAGGGGGAGGCUGAUUUCAGGGAACCUUGGAACAACUGCACUGCCAGAGCCCGCCACAGGAUGUCAUCAAACGUUGCUUUUCAGCUGCUGGAGAGAGAGGGAUUUGGUUGAAGGACCCACAUUUCUCACUCUUGGUUUCUCAUUGCACCUGUGUUUGAAUUUCACCUUGUAUUUUAUGAAUGAGGGUUAAACAUGAUCAGCGCAAAGAAAAUCCUGUUCCAUCUGCUGAAUGUUAAUGGUUAAGU